rnacentral:rRNA from 1 species
CCGGCGAGGGGAGUGAAAAAGAACCUGAAACCGUGUACGUACAAGCAGUGGGAGCACAGGUUUACCUGUGUGACUGCGUACCUUUUGUAUAAUGGGUCAGCGACUUAUAUUCUGUAGCAAGGUUAACCGAAUAGGGGAGCCGGAGGGAAACCGAGUCUUAAUUGGGCGUUAAGUUGCAGGGUAUAGACCCGAAACCCGGUGAUCUAGCCAUGGGCAGGUUGAAGGUUGGGUAACACUAACUGGAGGACCGAACCGACUAAUGUUGAAAAAUUAGCGGAUGACCUGUGGCUGGGGGUGAAAGGCCAAUCAAACCGGGAGAUAGCUGGUUCUCCCCGAAAGCUAUUUAGGUAGCGCCUCGUGAAUUCAUCUCCGGGGGUAGAGCACUGUUUCGGCUAGGGGGCCAUCCCGGCUUACCAACCCGAUGCAAACUGCGAAUACCGGAGAAUGUUAUCACGGGAGACACACGGCGGGUGCUAACGUCCGUCGUGAAGAGGGAAACAACCCAGACCGCCAGCUAAGGUCCCAAAGUCAUGGUUAAGUGGGAAACGAUGUGGGAAGGCCCAGACAGCCAGGAUGUUGGCUUAGAAGCAGCCAUCAUUUAAAGAAAGCGUAAUAGCUCACUGGUCGAGUCGGCCUGCGCGGAAGAUGUAACGGGGCUAAACCAUGCACCGAAGCUGCGGCAGCGACGCUUAUGCGU